AUCUAUGGCCAUACCACCCUCAACACUCCCAGUCUUGUCUGAUCUCAGAAGCUAAGGAGAGUCGGGCAUGGUUAGUACCUGGAUGGGAGAAAUUUAAUACCUAGUACAAAUUGUACCACUUUUGACA
rnacentral:rRNA from 1 species